GGUGGGAUCCCGUACCCCCCCUAGGGACRGGCGCACCACCGGCCCGCCUUGGCCUGCUCCGGCAGGCGGGUGGAGCUUGAGCGCGUGCGAUAGUACCCGAAAGAUGGUGAACUAUGCCUGGGCAGGGC
rnacentral:rRNA from 1 species